UACGGAGGGUGCAAGCGUUAUCCGGAUUCACUGGGUUUAAAGGGUGCGUAGGCGGAUAGGGAAGUCCGUGGUGAAAUCCUGCAGCUUAACUGCAGAACUGCCGUGGAUACUCUCUAUCUUGAAUAUCGUGGAGGUUAGCGGAAUAUGUCAUGUAGCGGUGAAAAUGCUUAGAUAUGACAUAGAACACCCAUUGCGAAGGCAGCUAACUACGCGAUCAUUGACGCUGAUGCACGAAAGCGUGGGGAUCAAACAGGA
rnacentral:rRNA from 1 species